UUCCUACGGGGGGCAGCAGUGGGGAAUAUUGCACAAUGGGGGAAACCCUGAUGCAGCGACGCCGCGUGAGUGAAGAAGUAUUUCGGAUUGUAAACUUCUGUUCUUAGUGAAGAAUAAUGACGGUAGCUAAGGAGCAAGCCACGGCUAACUACGUGCCAGCAGCCGCGGUAAUACGUAGGUGGCAAGCGUUGUCCGGAAUUACUGGGUGUAAAGGGAGCGCAGGCGGGAAGCCAAGUCAGCUGUGGAAACUACGGGCUUAACUUGGAGACUGCAGUUGAAA
rnacentral:rRNA from 1 species